CCUCAGUAAUUAGCGAAUGAAAAGGGAUAGGCUCAGCAUCGAAAUUGGGGUCAUUGGCCUUGAAUUGUAGUCUCGGGAUGUACCGCCAACCGAGGCACAGGUGUAAGCCUCUUGGAAAAGAGCAUCGACGAGGGUGAGAGUCCCGCUCGGCAUCUGCAGCCCCCUGUGUACGGCGUAUAUCUUCAGAGUCACGUUCCUCGGAAUUGGAGCGCAAAGCUGGUGGUAAGUUUCAUCUCAAGCUAAAUACUGGCUCGAUACUGAUAGCCAACAAGUACCAUGAGGGAAAGAUGCAAAGGACUUUGGAAAGAGAGCUAAAAGUGCCUGAAAGUGCUGAAUGGGAAGCGAAUGGAACCAGUCUGCUAGGUGAGAUUGUUGCGCGCGAUCGUGACUGGCUGUGGCCUCAAGCCUCGCUGUGGUAAUGGGCUUUGAAGUGGGCGCGCGCGGUGGUUCUCGCUUUGUGUGUCAUCAUUAGUUCGCGAUAGAGGACAACUCUAUGGGCAUGGCAGUUUGCUACUGGGGCGUGCGAAUGUGCCUGGCAGAACUCAUUUGUGUACUGAUGCAGCGGCGUAUUGGCAACAUGGUUCUAUCCGACCCGUCUUGAAACACGGACCAAGGAGUCUAACAUAUGUGCGAGUUCACGGGUGCGAAACCUGCUUGCGCAAUGAACGUGACUGCUGAGAUUGUGUGCACCAGCAACCGACCAAUUUCCAGAGAGAGGUUUGAGUAUGAGCACGUGUGUUAGGACCCGAAAGAUGGUGAACUAUGCUUGAGCAGGGUGAACUCAGGGGAAACUCUGAUGGAGGCCCGUAGCGAUACUGACGUGCAAAUCGUUCGUCACACUUGGGUAUAGGGGCGAAAGACUAAUCGAACCAUCUAGUAGCUGGUUCCCUCCGAAGUUUCCCUCAGGAUAGCUGGAGUUGAACAGCUUUGUCAGGUAAAGCGAAUGAUUAGAGGAAUCGGGUGCGUGUUGCUCUCGACCUAUUCUCAAACUUUAAAUGGGUAAGAUCCAGUGGUUACUUGGGUGAACUUCUGGGAUAAGUGACAACUCCAAGUGGGCCAUUUUUGGUAAGCAGAACUGGCGAUGAGGGAUGAACCUUACGUUGGGUUAAGGUGCUUAAUUGCUCGCUCAUCAGAAACCAUAAAGGGUGUUGGUUCAUUUAAACAGCAGGACGGUG
rnacentral:rRNA from 1 species